rnacentral:rRNA from 1 species
AGCUAUUUGACACUAGCUCUUAUAAUUAAAGAACGUCGUGAUUUCAAGACACUCGAUACAUCUGAUAUACUUGAGAGGCUUAACACACAUGAGUUCCAGCUAUCUGAGAAAAGAGAUAUCUAUGGUCCUAACUAUGGUCGCCCUCGCGCUUUGAAGGCAAAGGUUGUUUCCUCAUCUGAAGAAGAAUCUAACUGCAGUUCUGGUGGAGCUGAAGACCUUGGAAAGGAGCUCGCUAUGCUUGAGAAGAAGGUCCAGAAGUUCACUAAGAAGAAAGGCUUCAGAAAGUCUUCACGAUACAGCUCAAGAAAUGAUGAAGCUUCUUCCCAUGACCACAAGAAGUGA